UACGUAGGUGGCAAGCGUUGUCCGGAAUUAUUGGGCGUAAAGGGAGCGCAGGUGGGAGAACAAGUCUUUCUUAAAAGUGCGGGGCUCAACCCCGUGAUGGGGAAGAAACUGGACUUCUUGAGUGCAGGAGAGGAAAGCGGAAUUCCUAGUGUAGCGGUGAAAUGCGUAGAUAUUAGGAGGAACACCAGUGGCGAAGGCGGCUUUCUGGACUGUAACUGACGCUGAGGCUCGAAAGCCAGGGUAGCGAACGGG
rnacentral:rRNA from 1 species